AUCUUCUGAAAGUCUAGCUGAAAUUGUAAAGAAUGCAUUCAGUCUCCACUCUGCCCACCUCUCUGCCUCCAGAGUUGCAGCCAUGUGAGAGAAAGAUAAUAAAAGCCUACACCUACCAAGACGGUAAACAUGAACAGCUGCCCUGAAUCAUCUGGCCCCUCUCUCCAGCCCGUAUCAAUGAAGCAGAGGAGUGGUCUACAGGACUGAGAUUAUGUCACCCACAGGAAGCAUCUGAUAUUGGGGCAGUUCAGAUGAGACACGGGAAACAGAAAUCUGUGGUAUGAGAUUAUUACUUCUUCCUGAAAUAUGGACCGGUUUUAAAUCAAAACAACAGGAAAGACAAAUUCCAUAAGCAGGAGACUUAUGAACUGUAUGUCUGUCCUUCCGUCCUCUGAGUCAGGCUGUAAACCCUGUGCACUCUGAGCACCUUGGGAGGUGGAGCAGGGGUCCAGGCUGCAACACACGGGACAUAUUCAAUAUAAUUGCACCAUUGGUUUCCCGGGUGUGACACAUCUUGCCUGAUUACACUGCAUGUUCAGGGAAGCAAGAGGUGGAUGCGGGAGGCUCUUGUCUGGUGACCUUUAUUUUGGCAGAAAGCUAAUAGACAUUCCACUCUGCAGAGAGGAUGCUCUCAUGGGGAAUUUGCACACUAAUACAGACUUUGCCUCCAUCAUUGUGCUUAAUUGAAAGAAGAGUUACAUCAAAUUUUUACCUAAUGAUUUGUACAACAUUCUUACAUAAUUAAAGGAAAGUGAUGCAAGUCAAUCUUUG